rnacentral:misc_RNA from 1 species
CCCUACUCCAUAAUGCUUCGGACCGAAGCUGUCCUUCAUCCUCUCCACUGCAUCCUCCAAGUACGGGACAGCUUCAGAGACCUUACCAGUCAAAAGCAACAGCCACCCAAUCCUCGCUGCGACAUUGCCCUCCAGGUGCUGUGCCUGAGGCAUCCUCUCAAGCAUUCCCAGGCUCUUCUUCAGCAAAGAUAUUGCCUUUUCCAACUCAUUCACCGUCUCAAACAGUGAGGAUACCUCUAUGUACAUCUCUGCCACCUUGUCGGGUGUCGCGAAUUUCUUCUUCUCCAGGAUGUCGCAAGCAAUCUCCAAGCACCUCUUUGUGUCCCCAGCCUUCUCCUGGUUAGCGAGCGCCUUCGCCAUCGAUAUGAAAACUAGAGCUCGCGUCUCGCUAUCCUUCUUCACCUGCUUAGCGACAUUCUUCAACACGCUGACAGCCUCAUCAAACUUUCCCAAUGCAAUAUUGAUGUUUGCCGCAUCAAUCUCAGCAUGUAGGAGGAGGUCAGGGCUAGCUGCACCCCAGCUCUUGAUCACCCUCUGUGAAAUCUCGUUCUGCUCCAGCGCCUGCUCAUGCUGCUCUAGCCCAGUGUAUAUCACACCAAGCAGGCGCCUGUCGUGCGCAACCUCCACGGAGUUCUUGCCGAGCGUCGACUCAUGCAGCUCCAGCGCCUUCUGGCAGAACGGCAGCGCCUGCUUGAAGUCAAGCAGGGUGGCGUGCGCCUCCGCGAGGUCCCGGUACGCGACUCCCAGCUCCCGGCUGCCCGGAGGCAGAAUGGACUCCUUGAGGUCAAGGCAGGCGCGCAUGUCGGCGAGCGCCUCCUCCCGCCUCCCCAGCGCCGUCUUCACGUUGGCCAGCUGCAGCCGCACCGCGUGCGCCACGGGCCUGACGUCGAACCCUCCCGGUUCCUCCCCAACCUCGAACGCGACGCCUGUUUCGGGGAGGAGCGGGGCGAGGAGGCGUAGCGCGCGGGAGAGGAAGGACAACGCGUCGUGGAAGCGGGAGAGGUCGAAGGAGGCGGAGCCGGCGAGGUGGAGUGCCAUGGCGAGCGAGACGGCGUCCGAGGCGGAGGAGGGGGUGGAGGCGUUGGGGCUGGCCUCGAGUAUGCCCAGGCACCGGAGGGCAAGCGCGAGGACGCGGGACGUGUCGGCGGAGCCGGACGCCUCGAGGUGCUGGCCGAGCUUGAGGCAGGCGAGGGCGAGGCGCUUGUCGUUGGCGGGCACGGUGGCCUCGAGGCGGGAGAAUGCAGCGAGCAUGUCGUUAGUUGACCUCGCUGCCUCGAACGCCUCUUCCGCGGCAUCCGCGGCGGCGGCGGCGGCGAAGGGGACGGGAGGAGGCGGCCGCGGCGAGAAUUGGCGGCGGGGCGGCGCUUGGAGAGGGUGUACGAGGGCUUUGCGCGCGGGGGACGUGACGGGGCCUCGCAGGCGGGUUCUGAGGAGAACGGAGGCGACGCGGCGUAGCGCCAUGGUGGGCGAUGGAGCGGUUGCUUGCUCGCGGCGGCGCAGGCCGGCGGGGAGGGCGAGGCGGGGGAUCUGGCGACGGGUUGGGCAUGGGCUUUCUC